AUGCGCCUCCCGCUUCUUCCACGGUCUCCUCCCCUCGCCGCCAUGCCUCCUCGCCGCCGCCGCGUUGUCAGAGCGCCGCUGCUCACGCCGUCUCCUCCACAGCCCUCCUCUACCCCGCCGCCGGUCCCGUCCGUAGAGGCCCCCAAACCCGAAACCCCCGACCACCACGAUCCCACUCCCUCCGCCCGUCGCCGUCUCCCCCUCGCUGCCGGGGCCGUUGAGGCGCAGGAAGAGUGGCAUCCGCUCCCGCUCUCCACGGCCGACCUUUCCCUCCCGCUCACCCUCCCCACCGGCCAGACCUUCCUCUGGCGCCGCACCUCCCUCUCCCCGCUCCGCUUCACCGGUGCCGUGGGGCCCCACCUCGUCUCCCUCUCCCACCUGCCGGACUCCGACGAUGGCCGCCUCGCAUUCCUCCUCCACAACGACGGCAGUUGCCCCGCCUCCUCGGUGCCCGCCGCCCGCGCCGCACUCUGCGACUAUCUCAACGCGGCCGUCUCGCUCGCCGACCUCUGGCGGCAGUUCGCCGCCGCAGACGAGCGCUUCGCUGAGGUCUCCGCGCGUCUCGGGGGCGGCGGCGCCCGGGUGCUCAGGCAGGACCCCGUCGAGUGCGUCUUCCAGUUCCUCUGCUCCUCCAACAACAACAUUGCCCGGAUCGAGAAGAUGGUGUGGACGCUGGCAGGCUACGGGGAGCGGCUCGGCGAGGUUGGUGGGUUCGUGUUCCACCGGUUCCCCACGAUCGAGCGGCUCGCGCGCGUGUCGGAGCAGGAACUUCGUGAGGCCGGGUUCGGGUACAGGGCAAAGUACAUUGUUGGCACUGCUAAAGAAUUGCAGGCCAAACCUGGUGGAGGUGAAAAAUGGCUUGCCUCACUGCGUGAGAAGGAGCUUUCAUAUGUGAUUGAAGCCCUUUGCACUCUGCCAGGUGUUGGUCCAAAGGUCGCUGCCUGCAUUGCUCUGUUCUCCCUUGAUCAAAACCAUGCUAUUCCUGUCGACACUCAUGUUUGGAAGGUUGCUACACAGUAUCUACUACCAGAGCUAGCUGGCAAGAGCUUGACCCCAAAACUUAGUGUUAUUGUUGCCGAUGCCUUUGUUACUAGAUUUGGAAGCUAUGCUGGUUGGGCACAAAAUGUUCUUUUCAUUGGCCAGCUACCAGCCCAAAAACUUGUGGUGGCUCAAGUUAACAGUGACAAUGGUACCACAAAACCUACCAAAAGGAAGCGCGGGGUGCAACCGAAACCAUGUUGAGAAGAUGUGAUCAUAUGGCGCACGGAUACCACUAUACCAGUGAUAGUGGGUUUGUCAUUCUUCUGUGCUAUUCUCAUUCAGUAAGAUGAUUUCAUAUGACUAUGACAAACGAUCUUCUGCUUAACAGGGAGGUAUUUGGUGGCUGCUGAAUUGGCAUGUCGUUUUCUCGAAAUCCUGAUGAAAUCAAGUGCAGAUAAAUUAAAAUCUGGACAGGCAAGCAAUACGACAGUCAGAACUCAGAACUUGAUGGCAACUUUCUGUCCUCUGGGAGUAGGAAUCCGUGAGAAGGAACAGCAAAUCAGAAGGGACAUCUUAAGAGAAAUCCGUCAGCACUUUGUAACAAGUACCUGCUGCAGACUAUAGUAUGCAAAUUCCCCAGUUCUAAUUAGAAUUAGAAUGCAAGUACUACCAAUGGUGGCAGUUUUUUAGGAGAGAAUGUAUACCAAUGAUGGUGGUUUUUUAGGAGAGAAUGUAUAUCAGCAUGUGAUGGGAGCAUCUUGCUUGACGAUACAUCAGGCUUAUGAUACUAGCGUAUCAACUGUAUAUUGCAUGACCUUGUAAAGUCAAGGACCUUAUAAUUGUAGAUUAUACAUGUAUACCUGUAUACAAGAAUAAAGAACCACUUAUCCUUUGGAAUAAUGUUAA